UGGAGGUUUGAGAAAGUUUGGAAGAUUUUUACAGUACUGCCGUAACUGGUUAUAGCCUCCAAGACUAAAUCUCGAUCAAUGCAUUCAUAUCUGACACUUCUGUUCAGAUUAUGCGCUACGGUCGAGGACAUUAU